rnacentral:rRNA from 1 species
CAGCAGCCACGGUAAUACGUAGGUCCCGAGCGUUGUCCGGAUUUAUUGGGCGUAAAGCGAGCGCAGGCGGUUAGAUAAGUCUGAAGUUAAAGGCUGUGGCUUAACCAUAGUACGCUUUGGAAACUGUUUAACUUGAGUGCAAGAGGGGAGAGUGGAAUUCCAUGUGUAGCGGUGAAAUGCGUAGAUAUAUGGAGGAACACCGGUGGCGAAAGCGGCUCUCUGGCUUGUAACUGACGCUGAGGCUCGAAAGCGUAGGGAGCAAACAGGAUUAGAUACCCGCGUAGUCCCUGUCUCUUAUACA